UCUCUUCUACAAUCAUCUUCUUCCACACUUGGAUGAAGAGGAAACUUGAAAGGUAAGCUUGUGUGCGAGCUCCCAUUGCUUGCAUGUAAUGCACAUCUCUACAAUCUUGGUCAUUCUUAGAGAAGGCGUUGCAAUUCAUAAGAAAGCAUUGUAUGGGAAAUAAAAAAAGUGAAGAACCAAGGUGAAGGUUGAGGAGCCACACGAAUUUGGAAGGAGGACACAAGAAGUUCACCACUCAUUGCAUCAUCCUUGACUCCAUCAAAGGUUGAAAAUCAUAUGAAGCUUUAAAUUUUACUCGUGCGUACUUAAUAAAGGGAUAUAACUCAUCGUCUUCGUUAUCGUCGUCAUCAUCACCAUCAUCUAUUUCUUCUAAGGUGAGUUUCCUCUCCCUUAGGAUUUGAUCUUGAAUUUAGAAUAGAAAAGUAAUCUUGCAUGUGGCAUUCAUUACAAGAAAAAUGGGUUUUGGCUUCAAUAUUUUAGCGUCACCCACGACUUCGACGCUAAUAGCGUCGGUUUAAUAUCACUACAAGAAAAAUGGGUUUUGGCUUCAAUCAAAUAUAUAUGAAGUCAGACGCCUCCCUCUCUCUUAGUUUCCGAUCUCAAGUGUGACAUCAAGAAGGAAGUUCUCGUAUCUACUCACAAUAUCAAAAUUCAGAGCUUUCAUGAAUGAAGGUUUUCUUAUGGACGUGGAAUGUGAUUACUUGAUUUCUUUAGCGGAAAAACAAAGUUAUGUUAUGUCACUAAUGUGACUAAAGGAGGUGGAGAUGCGUUCCUGGUUGUAGAGGAUGGUACAGUGAACUAGAAAUUGACGCGUGUUUAUCGUGAUAAUUGAAUUUGAUAGUUUCAAAGAAGAGAUUAUUUGGACUUUUAUUACUAAUAACUUGUUUUAAUAUCUUAUGAAGUUGUAGGGGUUUUGAAAAAAAUUAAGUCGGGUUGGUUUAAUAUGUUUUGAUUCCAACCUACAUAAGUUAUGGGAGAAUAAUUUACAAGUAUGGUGUAUAUGUUGUGCCAUAUUUCCGUAAAUAGAUUGUCACCUAAACUUUUUAUUAUUUGUAUUAUGUUGAGUUUA